UUGACCUCAAAUCAGGUAGGACUACCCGCUGAACUUAAGCAUAUCAAUAAGCGGAGGAAAAGAAACUAACAAGGAUUCCCCUAGUAACUGCGAGUGAAGCGGGAAAAGCUCAAAUUUAAAAUCUGGCGGUCUUUGGCUGUCCGAGUUGUAAUCUAGAGAAGUGUUAUCCGCGCUGGACCGUGUACAAGUCUCCUGGAAUGGAGCGUCAUAGAGGGUGAGAAUCCCGUCUUUGACACGGACUGCCAGGGCUUUGUGAUGCGCUCUCAAAGAGUCGAGUUGUUUGGGAAUGCAGCUCAAAAUGGGUGGUAAAUUCCAUCUAAAGCUAAAUAUUGGCGAGAGACCGAUAGCGAACAAGUACCGUGAGGGAAAGAUGAAAAGAACUUUGGAAAGAGAGUUAAACAGUACGUGAAAUUGCUGAAAGGGAAACGCUUGAAGUCAGUCGCGUUGGCCGGGGAUCAACCUUGCUUUUGCUGGGCGUACUUCCCGGUUAAUGGGUCAGCAUCAAUUUUGACCGUUGGAUAAAGGUCAGGGGAAUGUGGCAUCUUCGGAUGUGUUAUAGCCCUUGGUCGCAUACAACGGUUGGGAUUGAGGAACUCAGCACG
rnacentral:rRNA from 1 species